CCUACGGGAGACAGCAGUGAGGAAUAUUGGUCAAUGGGCGAAAGCCUGAUGGAGCAACGCCGCGUGCAGGAUGAAGGCCUUCGGGUUGUAAACUGCUUUUAUAAGCGAGAAAUAUGAUGGUAACUUAUGAAUAAGGAUCGGCUAACUACGUGCCAGCAGCCGCGGUCAUACGUAGGAUCCGAGCAUUAUCCGGAGUGACUGGGUGUAAAGAGUUGCGUAGGUGGCAUAAUAAGUAGCUAGGGAAAUCUGGUGGCGCAACCAUUCAGACUAUUAGCGAAACUGUUAAGCUCGAGACCGUUAGGAGUAACUGGAAUGUCUGGUGUAGGGGUGAAAUCCGUAGAUAUUAGAAGGAACACCGAUAGCGUAGGCAGGUUGCUGGGACGGUUCUGACGCUAAGGCACGAAAGCGUAGGGAGCGAACGGGAUUAGAUACCCUUGUAGUC
rnacentral:rRNA from 1 species